UUAUUUUCACUGAACUGAAACCAUUUUUUUUUCUAGCCCAGUUGGUGUAUUUGAAUUUGCAAAUUUUGCUAAUGGGACCAAAGCAGUGAUGGAUAAAGUUGUUGAAGUUACUAAAUCUGGUGUUACAACAAUUAUUGGUGGUGGUGACACUGCAACCUGUUGUGCAAAAUGGAAGACUGAAGACAAAGUGAGUCAUGUCAGCACUGGAGGAGGUGCUAGCUUAGAACUUUUGGAAGGUAAAACAUUACCUGGAGUUGCAGCUUUAUCAGAUGCAUGAAAUGGUCCUCAUUCCUAGAAAGUUAAUGAUUCUCAUUGUCUAAGUCAUCUACAAUGUUUCCAUGUGAAGUCUUGGUUAAAUGUUGAAGAGAUAAAAACCGGUGUUUAUAAAGUGACAUUUAAUGACAACUGAAAUAACUAAAGAAUAUGUGUGUUGCAAGAUUCCUUAUAAGAAUAUCAAAACAAUUUUGUUUAAAUGUAUGUUCAUUGUGAAUUAAAGUGUUAUUGAGCUACGUU